AUCUCAGUGGUGCAAACAGUUAAUACACUUGGCUGCUAACCAAAAGGUUGGUGGUUCAAGUCCACUCAGAGAUA
rnacentral:tRNA from 1 species